rnacentral:lncRNA from 1 species
GCAUUGUUGCAUGUCAUGAAACAACAAAGUAUUUUUUAUUCAAAUACCUCAAACCUUGUAAUUUACUCUAUACAAAUAUAACUAUCUUUUUCUACACAUGAUGCAUUACGCACUGCAAGUACAUAAUGAAAGUGUGCAUAUUCAAACUAUUAUUGCCUCAAUAAUGACAAACCCAGUGCUAAGCUUCCACACCAGGACCUCUCGAGACAAAUGGGGAGUAUUUCACCCACUCAAGACAAAUGGGGAGUAUUUCACCCACUCGGAUACAUUCACAAAAAAAGUAUCAAUUUGCUCGCUCAAAAAAAACUAAAAUUGUUCGCAAAAGGCAUCCCUAAACACUUGGAUACAUGCAGUGCGGAAACAAUCCCCUCGCCCAGCAUCUCGGACAAACUCCCAUCAAGAUGAACACACACCUGCACAGUUCCUGAUUUGUUACUCGAUGAAACAUACAGUUAUUUUCUUUCUAGAAUACACUUAAUCUUUAAAAAAAUAGGUAAACAUGUUUUAGCAAAUUCUCCCAUCCAUUUUAACAGCUUCUUUGAUGUUCCUUUCUUGCUCUGCAAUAAAUGAAGUACAGGUCCCGACGCCGCUUAAUCAUGCAGAGCUCAUAAUUUAGAAACUUUCCAGCCCAUUCGGUAACACCAUACAUGAUUAUCUCACAUUGCACAGCCUACAGAUGAUGAAACACGUUAAAGAUCAUCAGCUACAAUGGUUAAACAUUGUACACACAUAUAUAAAUUGAUAAUUAGGUUUUGAUAAAAAAUCAAAACAGAGUACCAUAUCCUGUUGAGACCGUGAUGGCACAUACUGAAGUUCAUAGAUAUCUAAGAUUGCUAGGUUAUGAAUUAUCCUUUUGGAACGUUGCACACGUGCAAGUGCACAGUCAAACUAUAUAUGCAUCAACAUAUGACUCAAUUAUUCAUGACAUAUAGGACUGCCACGAGGAUCAAAUAGAUAACAAUUAUGAGCAAAUGGUGUUGUGUGACAUCUCCCAACUCGAUUAAUCAAAUUUUUUUGUUACUGAAUUAUCCAUAUGUGAAAAUUUCAAUGUAGAACUAAGUUAUUUUUGUAUAGAGAACUUCUUCCUUGGUUCACAAAGAGGUUCAGCAGCCAUCCUAAAUGAGCAAUGAAACAUACCUUGAAUUACUUGAGCAAAGAAGAUGUUUGCAGAGGGAAGUAAGUCGAACCCUUGUCUUAUCAAUUGUACAAUUAGUCAGUCGGAUAUUGCAAAAAAUGGUCAUCCAUCAUCUAAUGGUUCCAUAUUAAGAAUGUUGACAGACAUGCAGGUCUCCUCAGUAUUGUUAGACAAACCAUUUGAAAAUAAUCAUGCUCCAAAAUGUGCAUGAUUAAUAAGACAAUACAUGUGCAAUUCAAGCCUUAUAUUAGCAUGUGUUUCCAGACCUGCCUAUUAUAUCAAAGAAACAAUAUAGAUAUUAACUAAAGUCGGAAAAGACCGUACUCUUCCUAAAUGUAUCAAAUGGAACCACCUGUCUAAAUGAUGUGCAGAAAUAAAUAUUAAAUAUGCAUCUAUUGGAGCUAUCAGUCACCUUUUAAUUGUUACAUAGUGACUGUGGAUUAGUGGUAAAGCUUCGCAAGCUGUUGCACUCGCCCAAACAAAUCAGAAACCAAAUCAGUUCUAGUUAAUCCGCUAAAAAAUAUAAGAAAAUAAAAUUCAAGAUUUACCAUCAAAUAGCUUGAAAUGUGAACAUGUGUGAAUCAAGAGAGGCCCAUUGUUUAAUCCAUUGCAAAUAUAUCGAGAACCUGCAAAGGUGGGACUAUCAUGUGCAUGAAGAUGGGAUCAAAUACCAACUCAACAGGUUCAUGGCUGCAGUACUCAUUAUCUGUAUUUACCUGACAUAAUGCUAAUUUAGAGAUGCUGGAUGCAAGCUGAUGGAGCAGUGGGCAGCAUCAAUCAGACAUACUGGUAGAUCAGGUGACUCUGCUGCUCCACCCUCAGUGUAUUGGCGCUGCUGCCUGCUCCUUCCCGCGACGCUCCAAAUUGAAUCUAGCCGUUUGCCCUUGAAGCACUAAAGAUGACACGAAGCAGAACAUAUAUGAACUUCUAAGAAAUUAAUCACAUCGUAACCUCGUUGGUUUGAGCUUGCCCAUCCACUUUAUUAGUGUCAUUCCCAAGCCCUUCAAAAAACAUAGGAGGUGGAGGCUCAAUUGCGGCUACAACAUCAUCCAUACCGACAAAGUCUGGAUUAGUAUUAUCAUUGUCUAGAUUCAUGAAACACAGUAAUAAGGAUUCACAAAAUACAACUCAUUAAGUACACAGUAUUUGAACCUUGGACAACCGGG